rnacentral:tRNA from 2 species
AUUCAAAUAGUUUAAGAAAAAAUGUUGGCUUGUGGCGCCCAAGAUGUAAAGUUUACUUUGAAUU